UGGGGAAUUUUGGACAAUGGGCGAAAGCCUGAUCCAGCAAUGCCGCGUGUGUGAAGAAGGCCUUCGGGUUGUAAAGCACUUUUGUCCGGAAAGAAAUCCUUGGCUCUAAUACAGUCGGGGGAUGACGGUACCGGAAGAAUAAGCACCGGCUAACUACGUGCCAGCAGCCGCGGUAAUACGUAGGGUGCAAGCGUUAAUCGGAAUUACUGGGCGUAAAGCGUGCGCAGGCGGUUUGCUAAGACCGAUGUGAAAUCCCCGGGCUCAACCUGGGAACUGCAUUGGUGACUGGCAGGCUAGAGUAUGGCAGAGGGGGGUAGAAUUCCACGUGUAGCAGUGAAAUGCGUAGAGAUGUGGAGGAAUACCGAUGGCGAAGGCAGCCCCCUGGGCCAAUACUGACGCUCAUGCACGAAAGCGCGGGGAGCAAACAGGAUUAGAUACCCUGGUAGUCCACGCCCUAAACGAUGUCAACUAGUUGUGGGGAUUCAUUCCUUAGUAACGUAGCUAACGCGUGAAGUUGACCGCCUGGGGAGUACGGUCGCAAGAUUAAAACUUAAAGGAAUUGACGGGGU
rnacentral:rRNA from 1 species